GACACUUAUCACUCAUGCAUGAAUGCGGUUUGCAUGUGUGACAUUUAUCACACUUAUGUUGCGAUUCCACAAUCAUCCUUCUUCUAUAAAUAGUUCACCAUGACUUUAUUGUUACACAUCGAAAAAGAGUAUUUUCAGCUAUGUACAUCUACUCUUGGCAGUAUAAAGUAGCCUUAGAACUGGUCCUCUCUCAACUACAAUUCUCUGUCAUUCCCAUCAAAUAGCGUGAGAAAGAUUGCAGUGCAAAGAAGAGAGAUUAGUUUCUUCUAAACUUCAACCAUUUUGCUAAAGAUAAUUCAAUAAACAUCAUAAAUUCAGGGUCGAAUAGUGGCUGCUAUUGCUAUGAGAUUUCAAUCGCAGAAAUAAAAAAAAGAAGAGAAGUUCAAUUUCAUGAUGAAAUUUCUGACAGUGCUCUUGAGAAUUUAGUGGCAAGUGAAGGCGUAUUGUUGCUUCAGAAUUUUGAUAUGAGAUUCUAAUAUGGACGUUCAUUGUUUAAGAUCUUAAUUUUGAUUGAAGGUCUUUUCGCAUAAAAGUUAUCUUAUUCCAACUCAUUUAGCUUUUUCCCACCUUUUAACUCAGCCCAACUUUCCCAUUUAACACCCACAAGCUUCCAAUGAAGCUUUGUAACUGUAGUUGAAUAAUUUAGAAGCUCACCAUAGGUGUGUGAGCUAUAUUGUACUUUGUGAUAACAAUUAACAUACACCUGAAAGAUAUAGUUAGUGUGUGAGUAUGAAUGUGUAAAGACUCACACUUACAAUGACACUUUUUGGAUGUUAUCCGUUUAUAAAUUGUUGAUGUGUAAAUGUACAAGUGAUUCUUUGAAGAGAAAGCAAAUAUUGUAGAAA